AGAUUUACACACAGUUUCAGAUACUUUUGUGCACUUGAACACUCUAAUAAGUAGUACGCAAACUUGAGGUCUUCAUCCUUAAGUGGACAAAUACUUGGAUGUAUAAUUAAAAGUUAAUACAGUGAUUUUUAUUUAUAAUUUUAAAAAUUAGGAAAUAAGGUUUUUUUUAUUGCUAGUCUAAGUUUCCUCUUUCUCCUUUUAGCCAUCACAGUUUGAACAAUGUGUCAUACAUUCUAUCCAGUCACUUAAAGGAGUUUUGGACUGUAAACCUGGGGAGACCAGCGUCUUUCAGCAAACAAAAAUACAGGAGGACGUGUGCCAUCUGAGCAUUAAUAUCAUGCAGGUAUUCAUUGACUGCCUGGAGCAGCUGAGCACGAAGCCUGACAGUGAUAUAGACACUACCCAUCUUCCAGGCGACAUGUCAUCUUCAGAUUUAUUUGGAAGCAUCCAUGAAGAUUUCAGUUUAUCUGUAGUAAGUAUUAUUGCUGUUCAUUAAACCCAAAAUUAAGGCAAAUUAUCUAAGCAAUAUGUUAUAAUUCAUUUAGAAGUAUGUUCUAUUGUAUAUUGUACUAAUUUUAUUUCUUUGCAAAUGGAAAUAUUACUAGCAGAGUAUGUUUUGCAAACUGUAAUAUAAUAGAAAUUCGUGGUUGGCUAGCCAAGAAUUUAGAUGUCUGCUUUAGUUAAAAGCUUGCACAAACACUUAAAUUGGCUCAUAACUCCACAUCAGUUGAUUUAUUUGCAUAUACAGUUGUACACAAAAGUUUAGGCAUCUCUGGUUAAAGUUGUCUGUUUCAUCAAUAUCUAAAUGAACAGAAGCUACAACCUCUUUGUGGUAGAAAGUUAAAAGGCAUCUUCCUGUACAAUUGAAUCCAUAUCGACUAUUUAUAUCCUAUCAUUUGUUGAAUGGGGAAAAAAUAAAUACGGCAGAAGCAGAAAUUUGGUCCUGUUUUUGCAGUUAAUUAGUUCUGCUAUUUUCCAAAGUUGAAGAUGGUAAAAAAAGAAUUGAUUCAUUAAGAUUCGCUAGCUAGAUAAAAGAUACUUUGCCAGGAGAACAAAUAGUGCUACCUUCUUUCCCUCUCCAGUUGUGAUUGUCCUCUGUCUACUUUGCUUCUUCUAAGCAACGUAUUGUAACAUCACACUUAAAAGUAGGAGAAAUCUGCAAAAAAUCAAAACACUUUCUGCAAUGGAAAAUCUGGAAGACCAAGAGAAAUUUCUGCUAAAACUGUCACACAGCUAGUCAGAUCUGCAAAACAGAAGCCAUGAAUCACUGGAAACAACCUGCUGAAAAAUUUAGCUGACACUGUAGUAAUUAUCUCUAGGUCCAUAGUAAAUGAUUACACAUACAGCCACGAUCUAACCUU